rnacentral:rRNA from 1 species
AACGUAGGACGCAAGCGUUAUCCGGAGUUACUGGGCGUAAAGGGCGUGUAGGCGGCGCUUCAAGUUCGUCGUGAAAUUCUCCGGCUCAACCGGGGGAGGUCGAGGGAGACUGAGGCGCUGGAGGACGGUAGAGGGACAGGGAAUUCCGGGUGUAGUGGUGAAAUGCGUAGAGAUCCGGAGGAACACCAGUGGCGAAGGCGCUGUCCUGGGCCGCACCUGACGCUGAGACGCGACAGCAUGGGGAGCGAACGGG